AAGGGAGACCUAAUUCAGGUAGGAGACGAAAAAAAAGUAGUCCCUACCAAGAAUCAAUCCCAAAAGGUCGGAGCGAGGCAAAAUUGGCUUUCAAACUAGGUUCUGGGUUCACACAAGACCUGAAUCAGGAACAAGGGCUAUUAGCUCAGGUGGUUAGAGCGCACCCCUGAUAAGGGUGAGGUCCCUGGUUCGAGUCCAGGAUGGCCCACCUGUACAGGUGGCAAAAACAAAGAAAAGAAGCGAGGAAUCAGCACCUUAUCUUACUUAUAUAGUAAGAGAGAAUGCUGGCUCUGAGUAAAGAGUCCAGAGGAACCUUGAAAACUGCAUAGAGCUAGGUGAAAAAGCCAAAAAAGAAGACCGCAA
rnacentral:tRNA from 1 species